GUUUGAUUCUGGCUCAGGAUGAACGCUAGCUACAGGCUUAACACAUGCAAGUCGAGGGGCAGCAUUUUAGUUUGCUUGCAAACUGAAGAUGGCGACCGGCGCACGGGUGAGUAACACGAAUCCAACCUGCCGAUAACUCCGGAAUAGCCUUUCGAAAGAAAGAUUAAUACCGGAUAGUAUACGAAUAUCGCAUGAUAUUUUUAUUAAAGAAUUUCGGUUAUCGAUGGGGAUGCGUUCCAUUAGUUUGUUGGCGGGGUAACGGCCCACCAAGACUACGAUGGAUAGGGGUUCUGAGAGGAAGGUCCCCCACAUUGGAACUGAGACACGGUCCAAACUCCUACGGGAGGCAGCAGUGAGGAAUAUUGGUCAAUGGGCGAGAGCCUGAACCAGCCAAGUAGCGUGAAGGAUGAAGGCUCUAUGGGUCGUAAACUUCUUUUAUAUGGGAAUAAAGUUUUCCACGUGUGGAAUUUUGUAUGUACCAUAUGAAUAAGGAUCGGCUAACUCCGUGCCAGCAGCCGCGGUAAUACGGAGGAUCCGAGCGUUAUCCGGAUUUAUUGGGUUUAAAGGGAGCGUAGGUGGAUUGUUAAGUCAGUUGUGAAAGUUUGCGGCUCAACCGUAAAAUUGCAGUUGAAACUGGGAGUCUUGAGUACAGUAGAGGUGGGCGGAAUUCGUGGUGUAGCGGUGAAAUGCUUAGAUAUCACGAAGAACUCCGAUUGCGAAGGCAGCUCACUAGACUGUCACUGACACUGAUGCUCGAAAGUGUGGGUAUCAAACAGGAUUAGAUACCCUGGUAGUCCACACAGUAAACGAUGAAUACUCGCUGUUUGCGAUAUACAGUAAGCGGCCAAGCGAAAGCAUUAAGUAUUCCACCUGGGGAGUACGCCGGCAACGGUGAAACUCAAAGGAAUUGACGGGGGCCCGCACAAGCGGAGGAACAUGUGGUUUAAUUCGAUGAUACGCGAGGAACCUUACCCGGGCUUAAAUUGCAACAGAAUAUAUUGGAAACAGUAUAGCCGUAAGGCUGUUGUGAAGGUGCUGCAUGGUUGUCGUCAGCUCGUGCCGUGAGGUGUCGGCUUAAGUGCCAUAACGAGCGCAACCCUUAUCUUUAGUUACUAACAGGUCAUGCUGAGGACUCUAGAGAGACUGCCGUCGUAAGAUGUGAGGAAGGUGGGGAUGACGUCAAAUCAGCACGGCCCUUACGUCCGGGGCUACACACGUGUUACAAUGGGGGGUACAGAAGGCGGCUACCUGGUGACAGGAUGCUAAUCCCAAAAACCUCUCUCAGUUCGGAUCGAAGUCUGCAACCCGACUUCGUGAAGCUGGAUUCGCUAGUAAUCGCGCAUCAGCCAUGGCGCGGUGAAUACGUUCCCGGGCCUUGUACACACCGCCCGUCAAGCCAUGAAAGCCGGGGGUACCUGAAGUACGUAACCGCAAGGAGCGUCCUAGGGUAAAACUGGUAAUUGGGGCUAAGUCGUAACAAGGUACCC
rnacentral:rRNA from 1 species